rnacentral:rRNA from 1 species
GUGGGGAAUAUUGGACAAUGGGCGCAAGCCUGAUCCAGCAAUGUCGCGUGAGUGAUGAAGGCCUUCGGGUUGUAAACCCCUUUUAGCGAGGAAGAAACAAAUGACGGUACUCGCUGAAAAAGCACCGGCUAACUCCGUGCCAGCAGCCGCGGUAAUACGGAGGGUGCAAGCGUUACUCGGAAUCACUGGGCGUAAAGGACGCGUAGGCUGGUUGAAAAGUCAGGUGUGAAAGCCUACAGCUUAACUGUAGAACUGCACUUGAAACUCUCAAUCUAGAGUAUGGGAGGGGGAGAUGGAAUUAGUGGUGUAGGGGUAAAAUCCGUAGAUAUCACUAGGAAUACCUAAAGCGAAGGCGAUCUCCUGGAACAUUACUGACGCUAAGGCGUGAAAGCGUGGGGAGCAAACAGGAUUAGAAACCCGUGUAGUCC